ensembl:lincRNA Gm42434 predicted gene 42434
GACCUUGGUCACUGUCAAGGGAAGAUCGGCUGUUCCCACUGAGGGCAUCUUGAUGGAUUAAGGUGAUCAGCUGAUCAAUGUGAGGGGACAGAUGGGAGCUAGGAACUGUCUCGGUACUGAGUCAUUUUUCAUCUAAUGUGCAAGAAACCCAAAGAGCACAUCAAACAGCGAACUACGCCUAAGCUAUCCAUGUUUCUCCUGCUUCUUCUGAGAGGGUGAUUUACACGUAGCUCAACACUCGAGUGUUGCAGUAUCGAGUGACUGCAACCAAACAAUGGAACAUGCAUCGUGCCUGUUGACAGAGCCUGCAGUUGGCUUGGAACCGGGACCAUGCUGCAUUCGACAUCGUUCCUGGUGGCUGACUUGUUCCCAUAGAAUUAAAUGCUAGGCAUCCAGAAGCUGACUGUGCAUCUGAUGGGCUCACUAACAUUCAGGAACAGGUUGGCCUCAGACUUCAUCAAUGGAAAGGUAUACAAUAAUUUGGGGUAACUUACAGUGUAAAAG